rnacentral:rRNA from 1 species
UACGAAGGGGGCUAGCGUUGCUCGGAAUCACUGGGCGUAAAGCGCACGUAGGCGGAUUGCUAAGUCAGGGGUGAAAUCCUGGAGCUCAGCUCCAGAACUGCCUUUGAUACUGGCAACCUUGAGUCCGGGAGAGGUGAGUGGAGCUGCGAGUGUAGAGGUGAAAUUCGUAGAUAUUCGCAAGAACACCAGUGGCGAAGGCGGCUCACUGGCCCGGUACUGACGCUGAGGUGCGAAAGCGUGGGGAGCAAACAGG